rnacentral:rRNA from 1 species
GAUGAACGCUAGCGGCAGGCUUAAUACAUGCAAGUCGAGGGGCAGCAUGAUUGUAGCAAUACAAUUGAUGGCGACCGGCAAACGGGUGCGGAACACGUACACAACCUUCCUACAAGUGGGGAAUAGCCCAGAGAAAUUUGGAUUAAUACCCCGUAACAUAGCGAUUUGGCAUCACAUUGCUAUUAUAGCUUCGGCGCUUGUUGAUGGGUGUGCGGCUGAUUAGAUAGUUGGCGGGGUAACGGCCCACCAAGUCUACGAUCAGUAGCUGAUGUGAGAGCAUGAUCAGCCACACGGGCACUGAGACACGGGCCCGACUCCUACGGGAGGCAGCAGUAAGGAAUAUUGGACAAUGGACGCAAGUCUGAUCCAGCCAUGCCGCGUGAAGGAUUAAGGUCCUCUGGAUUGUAAACUUCUUUUAUAAGGGACGAAAAAAGGUCUUUCUAGAUCGUCUGACGGUACCUUAUGAAUAAGCACCGGCUAACUCCGUGCCAGCCGCCGCGGUAACAC